CUUCAAGAAUGAAAGAAGAGCCUGCAAAAGCAAUGGAGCAUAAGGAGGAACAGGUGCUAAAAUCUUUAUUGAAGAAAUAUCUAACUUGUGGUGGAGAUUUUUUUCCUUUUGAAUUACAUUGAAUGGGCAAAAAUUCAGGGGCCAUGAAGGUAUUCACCAUCUCUUGUGUAAGUAAAUUUAAUUGGAACCAUACACUCCUCUUAAGAGACAAAUUCAAGGAACAAGAACUAAGAAUGUAAUUUUCUUUAGUGCAAGAGAAAACUGUCUACAUGUUUUCUCCCCAGGCAGUAUGGCCAAAAGAGAAUGAAAUGUUGAACUUAUAUUAAUUAUAUCAAAGAAAGUUGCCAGAAAAGAAGCCUUUAUCUAAAAUUACUCAUAGGAAUUCUUUCUAUAAUCCUCUCAAGUUAUCGAAUUGUCAACAAGAAACUGAAUCCUUUUGCUAAUGAAGAGUUCUUUCACCCUCCUCUAUCUCCUUCAUUCCAGUUUGGUUAUCUUUCUUCUAAUUGUGAUUUACAUUUGAAUUUUUUUUUAUGUAAAUUCUAUAACUAGUUGUCUUUCAUUAUAGUUUCUUCACUUGUACGUACAUGUUACCACCCUCAUCAACUCUAAAGGAUAUAAGAUCCAUUUGGCAUUACCAUUAGAACUAUAGUGUAGAAAAGCACUUUAUAUAUUAAUUGGAGAGUAUUAAAAAUUAAAUUUGAUAUAUUUUAUUCCUAAGAACAUUAAAAUAACAAAUUAGCUUUUUCCAAAUUGUUUUGUCAACAACAUCUAAAAUGGUGUUUUUCUAAGAAGCGCUUUCUUGACUCUGAAACUCAACACCAAACAGGGCCAUAGUAUUAUGUCUCUAAAGCCAUUCUUGGUGAUCAAAUGAGCAUUAGCAUUUGAAAUGGGGAAAAACUGAUCCUUUGUUAACCCCCGUUGAUUGGCCACAGCAAAUCUAUAAGAACGAAAUUUGACAUAUUGAUGCCAAGGAUUAGAUACUAAGAAAGUUGAGCCUGCUCUCCUUGCUCCAUCCAUCUUUAUGCUAAGCACACCUUCUUUUAAACCAUUGUGGUAAUAUAAGAAACAUAAGAAGAAAAUAAAAGUGUUUAGAAAAUGUUAAGCAGAUCCCAUAAACACUUUCUGUUCCAACAAAACUAAGUACGCUCUAGUAUUUUCCUAGAGCUACUUCAUUUUGUUUACGAGGAUUAAGAUAAGGAUUUGGAAUUGUAAUGCAGUGUUUCAUUAUAUUUUUUUUAAUAUGUUCUCAUUGGUUAAAUCAUUAUUGGUAUUUGGCAAAGACCUGUUUAGCAUUGAAGAACAAAAAUUAAUAACAGAGGGUGCCAAGAUGUCACAUUAGUUAGCAGAACCAUUUGGACUUGGCUUAUGAAGUCCAGUGACUACAGUACCCUCUUAAAUGCCCUGUUAAAGAGCCAAAACUGUGCAGGCUGUGGCCCAAAGCGGACAAUACUCCAAGGUUUAAAACAACUCUAUGGAUGACAGCAGUAGAUGAAUGGCAUGCUGAAGGUUCAAUAUAUUCAUUUUUUUUAUAAGACAAGAAAUACGUCACAUGUAAUGAACUCACAAGGUUGGACUAAUUCUUUGCACAAAUAUUCAACGAAAGUAAAUAAGGUAUUAACCAGAAAACAUGAUAUGCACUGAAUCCCAUUUCUUCACAUUCAGAUUUCACAGUUCAUCUUUUAAGAAAAACUAAAAUUUACCGAGAGGUUUGAGCAUGCUGUCUGGUAAGGAAAGAUAUAACUGUUUUAGUAAAACUGCUGUUGGAUGAAUAAUAGUUGAAACAUCACUUCACAUGUGACUCACCUAAGCUAUGGCAUCUUAGAAUUUGAAGAGAUAGCUAUUUGUUUCGUUAGAUAAGAUUGUGUAUGGGUCUGCACAAGACUACAGCCUAACCCUACAACAAUUAUCCACUAAUUACUCAUAAGAUGACAAUAAGAACAAUCUUCUAUCGAAUUCUAGGAUAGGGUGUUCCAAACAUAUUAUAGUCUUAGGAGGAAAAUUCUCAAUCCUCUCCGAAUGUAUUCAAUUAUAUUUUCAGGGGAUCUCAUUGCAGGACAUGAUUAGGUUGUAGAUUCUGAUAAUAUAAGAAUAUCAGUUAUUUUCUUCAAUAAAGAGAUCAAAGGCUUUUCACAAGAAUAUGGCCAAAGGAAGAUUGCUUCAUUGUAGAAUUGAGAUGGAGACAGUACUAUUUGGAACUUUCUCAUCUCGUGAAAUGGAUUCCAUGCAUGAAGAUUUCCCGUGGCAAGGAGACUAACAGGGUGUCUGGCUCAACUUAUGAAAAUCAGCUUAUAAGUACAUAGUAUUUUGUUAUGUAGCCAUGUUCCCGGUUACAGAUAAGAGUAGAAGUUGGGUAGGAAAUAGAGAGAGAGAGAGAAUUCUGCAUUGCUGUUGAUUCUGGAAUGCCCCAAUUACAAGUGUUUUUCCCCUAUUUACGCUAACACCUACUACUUGUAACAAAAAACAUAAUACUGCCCUGGCCAUUGCAGAGUCAGCCCACCAACCCACAACUCAUCUCGCUCAUCCCAUCCCUUAGACAACAUAUUUUAUAAGCUAAUUUGAGUUUAUAAGCAUUUAA
rnacentral:misc_RNA from 1 species